rnacentral:rRNA from 1 species
AGUGGCGGACGGGUGAGUAACUUUUGCGAACGUGCCCUGAGGUACGGAAUAACUGCGGGAAACUGCAGCUAAUACCGUAUGAGCCCCGUGAGGGGGAAAGAUUUAUCGCCUUAGGAGCGGCCCGCGUCGGAUUAGCUAGUUGGUGGGGUAAUGGCUUACCAAGGCUUCGAUCCGUAGCUGGUCUGAGAGGACGAUCAGCCACACUGGGACUGAGACACGGCCCAGACUCCUACGGGAGGCAGCAGU